rnacentral:rRNA from 1 species
CCUAAUACAUGCAAGUCGAGCGAACAGAUAAGGAGCUUGCUCCUUUGACGUAAGCGGCGGACGGGUGAGUAACACGUGGAUAACCUACCUAUAAGACUGGGAUAACUUCGGGAAACCGGAGCUAAUACCGGAUAACAUAUUGAACCGCAUGGUUCAAUAGUGAAAGGCGGCUUUGCUGUCACCUAUAGAUGGAUCCGCGCCGUAUUAGCUAGUUGGUAAGGUAACGGCUUACCAAGGCAACGAUACGUAGCCGACCUGAGAGGGUGAUCGGCCACACUGGAACUGAGACACGGUCCAGACUCCUACGGGAGGCAGCAGUAGGGAAUCUUCCGCAAUGGGCGAAAGCCUGACGGAGCAACGCCGCGUGAGUGAUGAAGGUCUUCGGAUCGUAAAACUCUGUUAUCAGGGAAGAACAAAUGUGUAAGUAACUGUGCACAUCUUGACGGUACCUGAUCAGAAAGCCACGGCUAACUACGUGCCAGCAGCCGCGGUAAUACGUAGGUGGCAAGCGUUAUCCGGAAUUAUUGGGC